rnacentral:lncRNA from 10 species
CACAGAACAUGCUCUUCAUGGAGAAUACUGUGUGGCUUAAAUAAGAUAAUCAAGUAAAAGCUUCACAGAGAGCCUGGCUUUCAGCAGGCACUCAAUACAUGGUAACGAUUUCUACAUCUGCAGUUCCUAAAGCAGCUUUCACGCCACCCCCCAGGGCAGCUGUAGCCACAGAAUUGAGGCAUAAUUUGGACACUGUUGGUAGAAACAGCAUUGGGUAACUUUAUUAACCAAUUUGGUUCAGCCUUAUUAAGGAGGAGAGCUCCAUUCAUGCCAAAGGCUUCUCCAAGCCCUUCGCAAAUAACCAGGAUUCAACAGCCUGAACUCCCCCAAGAAUGACUCCGUGCCAGAACACAGCACAACCCAGCAGUGUGGCCCUUCCUGAUUCUCCCAUCCUCCUUGCCACAUGGGCUGAUGGAGGCUUAGGUUCUGUGGCUUUACCGAGCUCCAACUCUCUUCCUGCACUUGAGCAAGAGCACUUGGUGACCUGGUGAGAUGGUAGAAAUGGACACAAGCCCUGACUCCUGGCAGGAGACUUCAGACUUGCAGCAUGUGCUUAAACCACAGGAAACGGUGUGGCUCACAAGUGGUCUGAGCCCAGGAAUGAUGAACCCCAUGAUGCUGGGAGUUCAUCUCAUCGAGUCAGCUCUGUGACAUUUGGGCCAUGGAGCUGUGGACCCAGCUCUCCAGGAACUUCUGCCUGCAGUGACUGAAAGCUCUUUUGACACUUUUCUAUUUUACUAUCCCCUGGGAUCCUGCUGAGCACACAGGGAGGCUUCAGUAGAAGUCACUUUGUGUCUCUGUGUCACCUUCUGAUUAAAAUAACUUUAAAAGUCAUGUUCUGGGCCAUGCACGGUGGCUCAUGCCUGUAAUCCCAGCACUUUGGGAGAUUGAGGUGGGUGGAUCACCUGGGGUCAGUUCAAGACCAGCCUGGCCAACAUGACAAAACCCUGUCUCUACUAAAAACACCAAAAAAAAAUUAGUCAGUCAUGGUGCGUGCACCUGUAAUCCCAGCUACUCAGGAGGCUGAGGCACGAGAACCACUUGAACUCUGGGAGUAGAGGUUGUAAUGAGCCGAGAUCGUGCCACUGCACUCCAGCCAGGGUGACAGAGCAAGACCCUAUCAAAAAAAAAAAAAAAGGAAUCAAAAAGAAAAAAAAGUCAUGUUCUGGAAUGGCCUGCUUCGUAGGUACAAAAGAGCAGGGUUUGCAGAGUCAGGCAAAAUAAAGGGUUGGCUUGCAAUCUAACCUUAUCAGAGACCUGGUGGCUAAGGGACCCUUCUGUGGAGAUUUGCGAGAAUGUACUCAGCAGAGAGGUGAGGCUCAGAAAUGAAUUCAGGGCCCAAAGCAGGAUGGAGAUAAAGAUGCCCAGAAGAAACCAAAGCCUUCUUGGGGGAAACUGUAAGAAGUCAGGAGGGAAUUCUUUAUUAGAAAUUGAAGAUCCCGCUGGGCGUGGUGGCUCAUGCCUGUAAUCCCAGCACUUUGGGAGGCCGAGGUGGACAGAUCACCUGAGGUAGAAGUUCGAGACCAGCCUGGCCAACAUAGCAAAACCCCAUCUCUACUAAAAAUACAAAAAUUAGCCGGGCGUGAUGGCACGCACCUGUAAUCCCAGCUACUCAGGAAGCUAAGGCAGGAGAAUCACUUGAACUUGGGAGGUGGAGGUUGUAGUGAGCCAAGAUGGCGCCAUUGCACUCCAGCCUAGGCAACAAGAGCGAGACUCCAUCUCAAAAAAAAAAAAGAAAAAGAAAAGAAAAGAAAAAAAAAGAAAGAAAGAAGUUGAAGAUCAAAGCUGGAGACCAGGACUCUUGACAAAUCUGACCAGAUUUGAAACACACCUAAGAAAUGUAAGACUCAAUUAAUUCUACAUGAGCCUAAGAAUUAAACCAAAUAAAGAAUGACAACACAAGUAAUGAGGAUACUGGCUUAUGCCUAGGUGUUUGUAUUUCUUUAGGUCUAACUCCAACUGUAUAUCCUAUUUUAAAUUAAUAUUUGUUAUUCUUUGUUUUUUGUUAUUUUAAUAAAAAGCUCUAUUUAAAUGUAUUUAAAUAACAUUAGCCAGAUGUGGUGGCUCAUGCCUGUAAUCCCAGCACUUUGGGAGGCUGAGGCAGGUGGAUUGCUUGAGCUCAGGAGUUUGAGGACAGCCUGGCCAACAUGAUGGAACCACGUCUCUACAAAAAUACAAAAAUUAGCCAGGCAUGGUGGCACACACCUGUAGUCUCAGCUACUUGGGAGGCUGAGGUGGGAAGACUGCUUGAGCCUGGGAGGUUCAGGCUACCAUGAGCCUUGAUCACACCACUGCUCUCAAGCCAAGGCAACAGAGUGAGACCCCAUCUCAAAACAAAACAAAAAGAGAACACUAAUGCCGUUAGAAAAGAAUGCUUUCAUUACUAACACCACUGGGGAGCCAAGCAAUUCAAACCCGCCUGACUCCAUGUGGCAGCUUAUUUCAAGUACAGGCAAGGAGACUCAAAGGAAAUAAACAGUGUGUGGGGGUUCUAGCGAUGCAAACCUAUAAGGUUCUUGUAACUAUCAUAAUGCUUGAUCAAUACUUAUUAACAAACCACAUUCUAGGAGGAACAAGUUUUAAAAGCCUGAAAAUUGGACAGCCAACGUCCU